rnacentral:rRNA from 1 species
UCGAGGAUCUUCGGCAAUGGGCGCAAGCCUGACCGAGCGACGCCGCGUGUGCGAUGAAGGCCUUCGGGUUGUAAAGCACUGUCGAGGGGACGUAAGCCGCAAGGUUGAACGCCCCCUGGAGGAAGCACGGGCUAAGUUCGUGCCAGCAGCCGCGGUAAGACGAACCGUGCGAACGUUGUUCGGAAUCACUGGGCUUAAAGGGCGCGUAGGCGGGUGGUCUUGUCCGGGGUGAAAGCCUCCCGCUCAACGGGAGAAGAGCCUCGGAAACGGGCCGUCUCGAGGGGGAUAGGGGCAUGUGGAACUUCCGGUGGAGCGGUGAAAUGCGUAGAUAUCGGAAGGAACGCCGGUGGCGAAAGCGACGUGCUGGGUCCCUUCUGACGCUGAGGCGCGAAAGCCAGGGGAGCAAACGGGAUUAGAUACCCCGGUAGUCC